GGUAUCAUGUACGCCUCACAUGAGAAGGAGGGACAGCCAAGAUAGAAACAGCUGUGACUUCAACCCCAUCUGCUUCUGGGCAGUUCAGCAAGCCUUUCUCAUUUUCUCCAUCAGGGACUGGCUUUAAUUUUGGGAUAAUCACACCAACACCGUCUUCUAAUUUCACUGCUGCACAAGGGGCAACACCCUCCACUAAAGAGUCAAGCCAGCCGGACGCAUUCUCAUCUGGUGGGGGAAGCAAACCUUCUUAUGAGGCCAUUCCUGAAAGCUCACCUCCCUCAGGAAUCACAUCCGCAUCAAACACCACCCCAGGAGAACCUGCCGCAUCUAGCAGCAGACCUGUGGCACCUUCUGGAACUGCUCUUUCCACCACCUCUAGUAAGCUGGAAACCCCACCGUCCAAGCUGGGAGAGCUUCUGUUUCCAAGUUCUUUGGCUGGAGAGACUCUGGGAAGUUUUUCAGGACUGCGGGUUGGCCAAGCAGAUGAUUCUACAAAACCAACCAAUAAGGCUUCAUCCACAAGCCUAACUAGUACCCAGCCAACCAAGACGUCAGGCGUGCCCUCAGGGUUUAAU
rnacentral:lncRNA from 1 species